rnacentral:rRNA from 1 species
CCAGACUCCUACGGGAGGCAGCAGUGAGGAAUAUUGGUCAAUGGACGCAAGUCUGAACCAGCCAUGCCGCGUGCAGGAUGACGGCUCUAUGAGUUGUAAACUGCUUUUGUACGAGGGUAAACCCCGAUACGUGUAUCGGGUUGAAAGUAUCGUACGAAUAAGGAUCGGCUAACUCCGUGCCAGCAGCCGCGGUAAUACGGAGGAUCCGAGCGUUAUCCGGAUUUAUUGGGUUUAAAGGGUGCGUAGGCGGUUUGAUAAGUUAGAGGUGAAAUGUCGGGGCUCAACCCCGAAACUGCCUCUAAUACUGUUGGACUAGAGAAUAGUUGCGGUAGGCGGAAUGUAUGGUGUAGCGGUGAAAUGCUUAGAUAUUGCGCAGAACUCCGAUUGCGAAGGCAGCAUACCGGCGGCGAUCUGACGCUGAGGCACGAAAGCGUGGGUAUCGAACAGGAUUAGAUACCCUCGUAAA